CCACUACUUCCUCCAUUCGGAAUUACUUGUCACAAAAAUGGAUGUAUCUACAACUAAAAUACAUCUAGAUACAUUCAUUUCUUGGACGAGUAAUUCCGAACGGAGGGAGUACUAC
rnacentral:pre_miRNA from 1 species